rnacentral:rRNA from 1 species
AUUGAACGCUGGCGGCGGGCCUAACACAUGCAAGUCGAACGGUAACAGGAAGAAGCUUGCUUCUUGGCGUACGCGUGGCGGGCGUGUGAGUCAUGUCUGGGAAACUGCUUGAUGGCGGGGGAUAACUACUGGAAACGGUAGCUAAUACCGCAUAACUUCGCAAGACCAAAGAGGGGUACCGUCGGGCCUCUUUCCAUCGGAUGUGCCCGGAUGGGAUUAGCUAGUAGGUGGGGUAACGGCUCACCUAGGCCACGAUCCCUAGCUGGUCUGAGAGGAUGACCAGCCACACUGGAACUGAGACACGGACCAGACUCCUACGGGAGGCAGCAGUGGGGAAUCUUGCGCAAUGGGCGAAAGCCUGAUGGAGCCAUGCCGCGUGUGUGAAGAAGGUCUUCGGAUUGUAAAGUUCUUUUAGCAGGGAGGAAGGAAGUAAUGUUAAAACAUGUACUGAUUGACGUUACCUGAAGAAAAAGCCCCGGCUAACUACGUG